CUACUGGAAAUGGGAGGUGUAUCUGACCCUCAGAAAGGUUUUGUGGGUUUUCACUGUUAUGCUUUUGUAGAUGAUUUAAGAAUCAGGCACAUUUUUUGCUUUGCAGACUAUGUUUUCCAAAAUUAGAAACUGUAAACUAUCAUUUUGAAAAAGGUAAGAUCCUACCACAAAAACAAAAUAAAAUUCAACAACAUCAAGAAGCAAACAAAGCAAUACAGAAUGGAGAAUGCUUAGGGACACGAUGGAGAAUCUGCUCUGCAGUUUUCCCUCAAGUUUCUUCUAAGUUGGUGAUGGUUCGUUCAGCUUUUUCCUCACUUUGCCAUUUUAUUCAUGACAUAGAAGAGCAAUCAUCAUAUUUGCAAGUGAAAAAGGAUCAAAGUUUAGACAAAAUCUUCCUAACAAAUUAUAUCGUUUCUUGGAUAAAAUUCAAUUGAUAAAAAUUAUAUUAAAGAGAAUGAAAAACGCAGCAAAAUCACCCUAUCAAGCGAUAAAGUACAAUUUGUGGUUCGUAUCACAGAGGCAAGUGAAGUUUGGGAAAGAACACUGAAAAGACCUAAGUUUUGAACUGGAGCAGAAAAGAGCAAACCACUCAGGAUCAUAGCAAUAACUGGAAACGGCUUCCCUUCAUUACUUUCUGCACACAUAGCUGAUAGUGGUGCAGGAGCGAGUGCAGGAGGCAGGGCUGUCUUCCUUGAGAAGGAAAACCAUGUGGAAAAGCCGGGCCAAAUUGAGAUCCUGCUUUUGUUUUCUUUGGGAUUUUUCAAAACAACUUGACUGUGGAGCAGCCUUGUGGACCUUGGUUGUUUUGGCAGGCACUGCUGAUAAGCUAACUCUACCAGUAAGACAGCUAAGCUGUAGCUCACCUAGAGCUAGUGCAUCCAACCUGAAGGCCAGUGGAAGAGACAUACAGCGACUCAAGAGAAACAACAACAAAAGAGUCAUUUAAACAAUCAAAUUCUAUUAUUUAUCACCUUUGGAAGAGGAAAGUAACAACAGCAAGAAAAAAAAAAGUCCGCAUGGAGGACUACAUGCUCCAGAGGCAAAUGGAAGGUAGAGGAUAAAUAGAAUUUCAGAUGUACUUCCUACAUGGAUAUAUCCAGG
rnacentral:lncRNA from 1 species